rnacentral:rRNA from 1 species
AUGAACGCUGGCGGCGUGCCUAACACAUGCAAGUCGAGCGGCAGCGAGGGGUGCUUGCACCCUGUCGGCGAGCGGCGGACGGCUGAGUAACGCGUGGGAACGUGCCCCAAAGUGAGGAAUAACUGCCCGAAAGGGUAGCUAAUACCGCAUAUUAUCUUCGGAUCAAAGGAUUUAUCCGCUUUGGGAGCGGCUCGCGUCGGAUUAGGUAGUUGGUGAGGUAAUGGCUCACCAAGCCGACGAUCCGUAGCUGGUCUGAGAGGAUGACCAGCCAGACUGGAACUGAGACACGGUCCAGACUCCUACGGGAGGCAGCAGUGAGGAAUCUUCCACAAUGGGCGAAAGCCUGAUGGAGCAACGCCGCGUGCAGGACGAAGGCCUUCGAGUUGUAAACUGCUUUUAUAAGUGAGGAAUAUGACGGUAACUUAUGAAUAAGGAUCGGCUAACUACGUG